ensembl:lncRNA
UCCUACUUUUGCACUUCUUUAUGAGUGUCCUUAUUAUUAAGUUUUGGCAUUAAGUAUUCAUUUACAGUCUUCUGCCAGAUUGUUUAUUUUAAAUGUUGAGAAAUGAUCAUUUGUUUAUUGGAUCCAAGUAUUAUGCUAUCCUUGGUUUAAAGACGAAAUAGCUUUAAGUAGGAAAUUCCCACAUAUUAUUAAUAUGUAUACCCCACUAGAUGAGCAUGUGUGAGAGAGAAACAGACCCAGAGCUGGAGGCAGAGAAUGGGACACAGAAAGAGGAAACAAAGAAACCAUGGCGUCUUAAGAGGGUCCCUGCUGCCUGCUUCCCUUUCGGCCAUGAUUGUUAAGUUUCCUGAGGACUCCCCAGCAAUUCAGAACUACUCCUGCCACCACCAUGAGAAGAUGCUGUUUCCAGCUUGAAGGAGAAAUAUAACAGAAGUCCAAUGAAAGAGAGCUGAGUGUCCCCAAUGAUGCCAUCGAGAUGAGCUAACUACAGUUAACCAGCCAGGUGACAGCAGAUACAUGAGUGAGCCCAUCUGAGAGCAGGUGAGCAUAGCCCAGGGUAGCAGAACUGCUGAGCCAGUCCCUUAGUUGACUCAGAAUAGUAAGUGGUUGUCUUCAGCCAUUAAUCGUAGAGUGAUUUGUUAUACAGCAAUAGUAUAUCGAUACAGGAUCAUUGGUUCCAGAAUUCCCAUAUUAGAGAUGAGAAAACUAAGGCUGGGGAUCUACAUUUUCCCCAACUUAAUAUAGCUACUAAACUCCCCAAAUUUUAGAGUUGACAACUCUACUUAUAAGUUAUAUAAAAUCCGGAGCACCUAAUUAUUGACAAACUUCUCAAUCCUUACCAGCUAGCUCCAGAUGAUAAUGUAUAAACUGUUUUCUGGAAUUAUUUUGAUUAGUAUUACACUUAAAGUUAAAGAUUUUGUUAAGCCUAAGCAUUACAGAAAUUGUCAUUCAUGUGAAGUUAUUCUCUUGUGCCUCGAAAAGCUAUAUUUGGUGUGCUGAGUUUGUAGUUGCAUUUGAUGCUUAAUGGGGUUAGCCCUGUGAAGCAUAUUGCAAGUGUCCUCUAGAGACUGGACUGGUUUCCAAUUGAUUUCGAGUUGCAAUUAAAAUUGUUGUCUUUCACAAAUAGCAACUACAUUGUGUCAAUUGAUGACCUUUCAAAAACUACUGGAAAUAAAAUCUGAAACUUUGAAACUACAGUAGAGGUUACUCUGUAAUAUAUGUGAGACCAGCAAUCAUGAAUUGGGAGGGUUUCCUUUCAAUUAUGAUUCAAGCUUCAGUAUCCAAAAUAUAGAGUUUUUUACCUAAUUAUAGCUUAUGGUAUUGUAUUUGGAUUGAGAAAUAUAGUGAUUCAGAAUGGUUUUCUUUCCUAAUAGUCUGCUAUUUAGUGGGAUUUUUUUUAUUAAGCAGAAAUCUCAUUUUCUUUAAAAUACUUUAAUAUCCUAGUAUAGUAGAUUUUUGAUAAUCUAAAAGUUUUAGGCUUUUUUUAUUUUGGGCUUGGAGAUAAACAAUAAUUAACACUCCUUAAAUGUGUAUUUCUUUCUUCUGAUGAUGACUUGCCUUUGAGGACCAGGUUCAAAACAUAUAGCACUGGAAUUGAUUCACUCUGAUUUCCAUUUAUUUAUUAAGUGUUUGCCUUUGUGCCAGUUUUGCAAUGUCAUCAGUUGGCUACAAUAAAUCUAUAUGUGCUCCGAAGAAAGUUGAUUUCUUUAAUUUUCCUCUCCAAGACUUAUUUUUUCUGUGUGCUAAGCUUUAAAGGACUUAAAGGGAUAAAAUGUAAAGAAGUUGUUUUGAUCCAAAAAGAUAUGCCUCAAAGUUUAAAGACCUAUGUUCUUCUGUUACCCAAAUUCAAAAGAACCAAUAUGGGUAUCAUUGUAAUUAUUACAUAAUUCUUAGUCAUAAGUUAUUGAGUCAUCCCAUGAGAGAGCAAUUCAUCUUAACAUAGUCCCAAUCUAAUAACAAUAUUCAAGUCUUAAGUUCAGAUCACAUUUCCCUCCUGCUUAUAGACCUUUCUCCUCAAAUUUUGGUAUUCAUUAGGAAGAAGAGACCAAAGACAUAGACUUCUUUAUUAAGAAAGUGAUAAACUUCAUUUAGGUGUAACUCACCUGACAAAAAGGAUGGGUUUCUGUAAACUAAGGUAAAUAUUAGAUUUUGUGUGUGUAAAUGAAGAAAUCUGUAGACACAUUUUGGGGACAUAUUAAUGUGUAAAUUCAAGAGUAACUCCUUUUAAAAAUAAAUAUCUCUUACAAAAUUUUAUUCUUAGAAAUUAAAAAAAUGGAAUCUAUUUUAUUUUCAAUUGUACUUUAAACUCUGGGGUACAUGUGCACACCCCACAGGGUUGUUGCAUAGGUACAUACAAGCCAUGGUGGUUUGCAGUCUCCAUCCCCCAUCACCUACAUCAGGCAUUUCUCCCAGUGUUUUCCCUCCCUAGCCUCCCUGCCCCCUGCUGUCACUCCCCUAGCCCCCCAAACCCCUAACCUACCCCAGUGUGUGAUGUCCCCCUCCCUGUGCCCACGUGUUCUUAUUGUUCAACACCUGCCUAUGAAUGAGAACAUGCAGUGUUUGAUUUUCUGUUCUUGUUUUUAUUAUUGCUAAACCCAUUUACUCCAACAUUUUACUUUUCCUUUUUCUCACUAUUCUUGAACCUAUUAAAAGAGGAAGCAGCAAACAUGUUGGAACAACAUAAAAAAUAAGGAAAAACAAAACAAAGAAUCACAAAGAAACAAAAUGUCUAGUGUCUUAAUUACAUGCUGCUAUGUAAUAAAUUACCCAAAACUAAAUGUCUUAAAACAGCGUAUUUAGUAUCUCACAGUUUCUGUGGGCUGGGAAUGUAGGUAAAGCUUAAUUGGAUUUUCUGCUUAGGAUCUUCCACAGGCUGCAAUCAUGGUGACAUCUGGAGCUGUGGUCUAAUUUCAAGGACCAACUAUGAAAAGAUCCACUUCCAAGCUCAUUCAUUUGAUCUUUGGCAUAAUUCAAUUCCUUGUAGGCCAUCAGAGGGCCUCAGUUUCCUCCUGACUGUAGGCCAGAGGCUAACCUUAGUUUCUUGCCACCUGGCCACUUCUACAUAGCAGCCUGCUUCAUCAAAACUAGCAAGCGAGCGAGAGAGAGAAUCUGCAAGCAAGAGGCACAUCAGUCUAUUGCAACUUAAGGACUAAAAUGACAACCCAUUGCUUUUGUUAUAUUUAAUUCAUUAGAAACAAGUCAUUAAGUCCAGGGCAAACUCAAGGGAAAGAUAUCACACAAGGGUGUGAGAUUAUAUGGGAGGAAGGGAUCAAUGGAGCCUGUCUUAGGAGUCCAUGUAUCAUAAAUAGAGUGGUUCAGUUGUUACUGUCUUAAUAUUAUCUCCUUUUAUGGAAAUAUUUAAAAAUAUUUUUGUUAUCUAUCAUAUUUUGUUACAUAUACUAUAUCAUUACAG